rnacentral:ncRNA from 1 species
UAAAAAGCGAUGAAGGGAAGAGUAGAUGUUAAAGUUAUUUACAGAGAACCACGUUAGCUGAGAAGUGGUAAUGACUGAGAUAUUGAAGAUGGUCCUAGAGCUAUAUAGUCGAAGUUAAGUAGACUGUAUCGGAUUAACAGAACCGUUAUUUCUGUAUGAGUGAUUACUUAAUAGUAAUAACUAGGGUGGUACCACGGAAGGUGAUUAUACCUCUCGUCCCUGAU